rnacentral:rRNA from 1 species
CCUACGGGGGGCUGCAGUGGGGAAUAUUGCACAAUGGGCGCAAGCCUGAUGCAGCCAUGCCGCGUGUGUGAAGAAGGCCUUCGGGUUGUGAAGCACUUUCAGCGGGGAGGAAGGCGGUGAGGUUAAUAACCUCAUCGAUUGACGUUACCCGCAGAAGAAGCACCGGCUAACUCCGUGCCAGCAGCCGCGGUAAUACGGAGGGUGCAAGCGUUAAUCGGAAUUACUGGGCGUAAAGCGCACGCAGGCGGUCUGUCAAGUCGGAUGUGAAAUCCCCGGGCUCAACCUGGGAACUCCAUUCGAAACUGGCAGGCUAGAGUCUUGUAGAGGGGGGUAGAAUUCCAGGUGUAGCGGUGAAAUGCGUAGAGAUCUGGAGGAAUACCGGUGGCGAAGGCGGCCCCCUGGACAAAGACUGACGCUCAGGUGCGAAAGCGUGGGGAGCAAACAGGAUUAGAUACCCGUGUAGUC